UAGGGAAUCUUCGGCAAUGGGGGCAACCCUGACCGAGCAACGCCGCGUGAGUGAAGAAGGUUUUCGGAUCGUAAAGCUCUGUUGUAAGAGAAGAACGUGUGUGAGAGUGGAAAGUUCACACAGUGACGGUAACUUACCAGAAAGGGACGGCUAACUACGUGCCAGCAGCCGCGGUAAUACGUAGGUCCCGAGCGUUGUCCGGAUUUAUUGGGCGUAAAGCGAGCGCAGGCGGUUUAAUAAGUCUGAAGUUAAAGGCAGUGGCUUAACCAUUGUUCGCUUGGAAACUGUUAAACUUGAGUGCAGAAGGGGAGAGUGGAAUUCCAUGUGUAGCGGUGAAAUGCGUAGAUAUAUGGAGGAACACCGGUGGCGAAAGCGGCUCUCUGGUCUGUAACUGACGCUGAGGCUCGAAAGCGUGGGGAGCAAACAGG
rnacentral:rRNA from 1 species